UACAGAGGGUGCGAGCGUUAAUCGGAAUUACUGGGCGUAAAGCGUGCGUAGACGGUUCUGUAAGUCGGAUGUGAAAAUCCCCGGGCUCAACCUGGGAAUUGCAUUCGAGACUGGCAGACUAGAGUACUGCAGGGGAGACUGGAAUUCCUGGUGUAGCGGUGGAAUGCGCAGUAUACUAGAGGGAAGAACCGUGCCGGUAGGGCGGCAAGCUGG
rnacentral:rRNA from 1 species